GUACUAGUGUGUGGUACAGAAAGCACUUUUUGAUAUCUACACAGAGGUUCUCCUGCAGGUCAGAACAGUUCAACCAACCGCGCCACCUCCUGCACCCUCCACCACGACUCCUUCUGUCCAUACAUCAGCACCGACUACACCCACUCCAACAACCACAGGUAGGUCGUUCUCACCUGACCUCUUUUCCAUAAAGUGUCCGUCACGUCGUUCAUCCUGUACCUGUGUUUUAUUUCAGCUCCCGUCCAGACCGGCGCUCCUUUAUCCUCGGCUCCCGUUCACACCGUCGUCGUCCCAGUGGUCGUCGUGCUGCUUCUGACCGGACUUGUUUUAUUCACUGUUCUAUAUAAACUACACAAGAAAAGAGGUCAAGAAGAACCUCCAAAGAUCUCCAAAGUGGUGGAUGAGGUUGAUGGAGAUGACCCCCCUGCUGAAGAAACCUACCAGAAUCUACAGAGAGGAACCGACGAUCUGGUUUACGAGAACCU